UACGAAGGGGGCUAGCGUUACUCGGAAUUAUUGGGCGUAAAGCGUGCGUAGGCUGUUUAGUAAGUUAGGAGUGAAAUCCUUGGGCUUAACCCAAGAACUGCUUCUAAAACUGCUAGACUUGAGUUCCAAAGGGGAUAGCGGAAUUCCUAGUGUAGAGGUGAAAUUCGUAGAUAUUAGGAGGAACACCGGUGGCGAAAGCGGCUAUCUGGUUGGAAACUGACGCUGUUGCACGAAAGCGUGGGGAGCAAACAGG
rnacentral:rRNA from 1 species